CUAAAAAAUAUUAAAAUAAUUCUAAAUAUAUCUUAAAUAAAUUUCAAUCAAGUUCUAAUUUAAUCCUAUUUAAAUCCUAAUAGAUUUUAAUCAAACUCUAGAAAAAUCCUAAAUCCUAAAUCAAUCCCUAUAUCAAAUCUUAGAUUAAAUCCUAGAUCCUAAACCAAAUCCUAAAUCAAAUCUUCAAUCAAAUCCUAAAUAAAUCCUAAAUCAAAUCUAAAAUCAAAUCCUAAAUAAAUUUUGAGCCUUAAAUUUAAUCCUAAAUCAAAUCCUAAAAAAAUCCUAAACUUAAACCAAAUCCUAGAUUAAACCUUAGACAAACCCUAAAACUAAAACAAAUCCUAGAUCAAAUCUUAGAUCCUAAAUCAAACUUUAACCCUACUCAAUUUAAUCCUAAUAUAGUUUAGAAUCUCAAUAUCUAUCAAUUAAACCAUUAAUCUUACUUAAAAAUUUAUACACCUUUUAUAAACUAAAUU
rnacentral:lncRNA from 1 species